rnacentral:rRNA from 1 species
CCUACGGGAGGCAGCAGUGGGGAAUAUUGCGCAAUGCGGGAAACCCUGAUGCAGCGACGCCGCGUGAAUGAAGAAGUAUUUCGGUAUGUAAACUUCUAUCGGCAGGGAAGAAAAUGACGGUACCUAACUAAGAAGCCCCGGCUAACUCCGUGCCAGCAGCCGCGGUAAUACGUAGUGGGCAAGCGUUCUGCGGAGUUGCUGGGUGUAAAGGGAGCGUAGGCGGUAAUGCAAGUCAGAAGUGAAAGCCCGGGGCUCAACUUCGGGACUGCUUUUGAAACUGUGUUGCUAGAUUGCAGGAGAGGUAAGUGGAAUUCCUAGUGUAGCGGUGAAAUGCGUAGAUAUUAGGAGGAACACCAGUGGCGAAGGCGGCUUACUGGACUGUAAAUGACGCUGAGGUGCGAAAGCGUGGGGAGCAAACAGGAUUAGAUACCCUAGUAGUC